rnacentral:lncRNA from 1 species
GUUAUCUCUAGAAGGGAGAGAGUAGAUGAAAUCAGAGUGGGGCACACAGAAGGCUUUUACUGGAUUUGUCAAGUUUUGUUUCUCAAGCCCAGAAGUGAGUCAGGAAUUUCUCUUCUACUGUUUACAUCUUCUGGUUUUACUUUUUUUAAUAUAUCAUAUUUUUUAAAAAAUACUUAUUUUUUAGUUGUAGUUGGAAACAAUACCUUUAUUUUAUUUAUUUAUUUUUAUGUGGUGCUGAGACUCAAACCCAGGGCUUCACACAUGGCUAGGUGAGUACUUUACCACUGAGCUACAAUCCCGACCCUAUAUCACAAUUUUUUACAAUAUCCCCAGAGCUCAAUGCCAUCUGACGAAAUGGGCCAAGCACUCUUGGAAUGCAUUGCUUUCUUUGGAUCUUGGCUGUGAAUGAGCUUACAUCUCACAUAAAAGAAGGAAGAUAAUUCAGAAGUCCAUCAUAGACAAAUAAGUGCUGCCUGGAUUUUCUUGAACAAUACUCAGCAAACCACUAGUAUAGAUUACAUGCUCUGCCCUCAACCCAGGAGCCAGUAGGGGAAGGAACAAUAAUUUUUAAAGCCAGAGAUAGAUUUAGGUUUGCAUUCUGACAUAGACACGAUUUAUUCUCAGUUUCUUCAUUAUUCAGUGGAACUAAAACAAACCUUCCUCAUUGAAUUUUUAGAAGACUGAAUCAGUUACUUCAUUCGAAGUGCCUGAUAUGCAGUACGUGCUCGUAAAUAAUGUGGUCAUGAUCAAGGCAAAUCAUCAGUCUAGGGGAGCCUCUUUUGAUUCUCUUAUUCUUUCUUUCUCCCCGUAUCUGCCAUUUUCAAAUUUGCCCUGUAAUAAAAUAUUCUCAUUCAAAUAGGUUUCCUGAGGCUUAUGGUAACAUGCACCCAAAUUUACUGUUCAGAUGAUUUUCUAGUUAUUUCUGAACUUAGAAAUUAAGAGGAAAAAAUAAGUGUUCUACUUAGUCACAUUUCUUUCUUCCUUAAAUGCACUAGUUGAGGUCAUGAGACUAUUACCUCAGAGUGCUCAGACAUUACUAAAACAAAUUACUCUGGGUCAGUAUAAGGGGAGCCCUAACACUCAUUCCAGCUGAGGAGGUGGAGAGGCCCCUUGAGGAGAAGUGAAAGAAAGGAUCUCUUGUUGGCUCACAGAUGCCAUUAUUUAGAAAUGGUUUGUUUUGCUAAUAUGACCAGAUGACUCCAAGCCAUAUAUAAAAACAACCCACGCUGGCCACACUGCUUUGCUUGAUGAGUGUCCUAUAAAAGGCAGUUAACCUAGACUCAAGGGCAUAAGUCUAUUUGGGGAUAAACUCUUCAAGGAUUGCAUUGUCUGCUGCCGAGAAUGACUCCUAGUGAGUUGCUAACAGGAAGUCACAGGCUUGAAUGUUUUACCCCUCCACUUCUUGGUGAGGUGGCAUGAGUAAACUGCUUCAUUUCUUCAUUUUUAAACCAGGGAUCAUAAUAACUUACAUAGUUCUGAUAAAAUUCAAGAGAAUAUUAUGGAAGAAUCUGGAAUGGAACCAGAUGCCUGGUAAGCAUUCAAAAUAUGUUAGGUGACAUGUGAACUGACUCAGUAGGUCAACUUGGACUUGUAACUUCAAAUUUCAGCUCCUAGUUUCAAGAUGGUAGGGAUUAAAUGGAGUGCAAAGAAUGCUAGACUUGCAGUUGAGGAGAAAAACUAAAUUGUUCUUACUACUUGCCAGGUGUCUUUGGACAAAUUUCUGAACUUUUUGAGUCUGAUUUUCUUAAUGUACAAAAUGGGACAUAACAAUAUCUUCCCUCUCUACUUUCAAGAUUGUUGAAGGGGACAAGGUUUGUCACUGUGGGUCACCAACUUCACGUUCUGCAUUCUUCAUGUUUCUAAAAUUAACAACUAUUGUUUAGCAUGCAUUUGUGUUUUCUCAAAUUACUAACUUCUGAUGAAAAGGACAGACUUUUAAAAGUCCAGUGGAAGAAUUAUAGCUAGGUUCUGGAAUUCUGCAAUCUGCUCUUUUGCAAAGGCAAACAGUAUCUCCAUAGCAGAGUACUUGUAACAACAAUGAUUAAGAUAAUUAUCCACCUCUGGAGAAAUACCACCACAUUCUCUGAACUUAUGCUUUCAACUUCAAUAAAAUUGAAUAAUUCCAUAAUGAUUUAAAUCCCAGAAUUAUCUUUACCUAAACAGAGUCUGGAUAAUAGUUUCUGAACACUUGGGAAAUCAAAUUUUACCAUCAAUGGCUGUAUUUUAGGGUAAAUCAAAGAAUAAAGUUUAUGAAAUCCUGAGUUUAUUUAAAGGAUUCAAACCAAGUAAAUUGGGUGGUAUUCUAGCGCAUGAAGUAUAUGUGGAAGUUUAUAUAACCUUGCCUGAAAGAAAAUAACUCAAGACAUAUUUUAGUUUAAUUGAAUAGAAAAUGUUCAAGGCAAUUUAUCUUACUCUCUUCAAUUUGGAAAAAAAAAUCCUCUUUAAUGUCUAAAUAAUGCAAGAAUGCCUUCUUACACAUACACACACACACACACACACACACACAAUGUAAAUGUUCCAGAUAGUGUAAGUCCCUUUUAUCACCAUUCCCCUUCUCAAAGUUGCAAAAGUUACUAUUAUUAUCAGCUCAUGGUGUAUCCUUC